rnacentral:snRNA from 1 species
AGAUUGAUUGCCUUUUACUCAACAUUCUAUAUGCAUCCUUCUUAAAGCGGUGUGCUAGAUGGAAGAGGACAACCUUCUCCAGGGAAAUUGGAGGGUGUUUCUUUAGUCAGAGAUAUACAAGUAUCUGGGAUCCUUUACUAAAAUGUUCAAACAAAUCCCACAAAACUCUGUGCACACAAGCAAGAUGACCGCUUUGAAAAAUCAAGCAUGUAGAGGGUAUGGCACACAGUAGGUCAGUUCUU